rnacentral:rRNA from 1 species
GACGAACCGAGCGACCGUUGUUCGGAAUCACUGGGCUUAAAGGGCGCGUAGGCGGGCCGCCGCGUCCGGGGUGAAAUCCUCCCGCUCAACGGGAGAACGGCCUCGGAUACGGGCGGCCUCGAGGGGGGUAGGGGCGUGCGGAACUGUGGGUGGAGCGGUGAAAUGCGUUGAUAUCCACAGGAACUCCGGUGGCGAAGGCGGCACGCUGGACCCCACCUGACGCUGAGGCGCGAAAGCCAGGGGAGCGAACGGG